rnacentral:rRNA from 1 species
AGCUAGUUGGUAGGGUAAUGGCCUACCAAGGCAGUGACGGGUAGGGGACCUGAGAGGGUGGCCCCCCACAAUGGUACUGAAAUACGGACCAUACACCUACGGGUGGCAGCAGUAGGGAAUAUUGCACAAUGGACGAAAGUCUGAUGCAGCAACGCCGCGUGUGCGAUGAAGGCCUUCGGGUUGUAAAGCACUUUUCUGAGGGAAGAGGAAGGACGGUACCUCAGGAAUAAGUCUCGGCUAACUACGUGCCAGCAGCCGCGGUAACACGUAGGAGGCAAGCGUUAUCCGGAUUUACUGGGCGUAAAGCGCGUGCAGGCGGUUCGGUAAGUUGGAUGUGAAAGCUCCUGGCUCAACUGGGAGAUGCCGUUCAAUACUGCCGGACUCGAGGACGGUAGAGGGAGGUGGAAUUCCCGGUGUAGUGGUGAAAUGCGUAGAUAUCGGGAGGAACACCAGUGGCGAAAGCGGCCUCCUAGGCCGUUCCUGACGCUAAGACGCGAAAGCAUGGGUAGCAAACGGGAUUAGAAACCCCGGUAGUCCAUGCCGUAAACGAUGCAAACUUGGUGUUGGUGGUGUAAAAGCCAUCAGUACCGAAGCUAACGCGAUAAGUUUGCCGCCCGGGGAUUACGACCGCAAGGUUAAAACUCAAAGGAAUUGACGGGUUCCCGCACAAGCAGCGGAGCGUGUGGUUUAGUUCGACUACGCGAAGAACCUUACCUGGGCUUGACAUACAGGUGGUAGGGAUCCGAAAGGUGACCGACCCUUCGGGGAGCCUGUACAGGUGCUGCAUGGCUGUCGUCAGCUCGUGUCGUGAGAUGUCCGGUUAAGUCCGGUAACGAGCGCAACCCUUGCCGUAUGUUACAAGUGUCAUACGGGACUGCCGGUAUAAAGCCGGGGGAAGGCGGGGAUGACGUCAAGUCAGCAUGGCCUUUAUGUCCAGGGCUACACACACGCUACAAUGGUCGGUACAAUGGGUCGCAAAGCCGCGAGGUGGAGCCAAUCCUCAAAACCGAUCUCAGUUCGGAUUGCAGGCUGCAACUCGCCUGCAUGAAGCUGGAGUUGCUAGUAAACGCGCGUCAGCAACAGUGCGUUGAAUACGUUCCCGGGAAUUGUACACACCGCCCGUCACGUCAUGGGAGCUGGCAACACCUGAAGUCGGUAUCCUAACCCUCACGGGAGGGAGCUGCCAAAGGUGGGGCUGGUGACUGGGACGAAGUCGUAACAAGGUAGGUGUACCGGAAGGUGCGCCUGG